GUGCCCCUAGCUUUACGGAUUUCACUGUUUCCAAUGUUACCGUACGUACAGGGGCAAUCAUAGGCGGUGCAGUAGUGGUUGCAGUCGUCAUCAUCAGUUCAGCCGUCGUUGUUUCCAUCUUUAUCGUCAGAAGAUGGCGCUCCUGCAAUACUGAGGGAAAUCCAUUGGUGCCAGAACGUCAAGAAAUGGACAGGAAUAACAUAAGAGGUCCAGAUAUCUCUGAAGAUGGCGAGUAUGUGGACACUUUACCAUCUAAUGUAAACUCCCUACAGACUGGCACUGAUAACGAUGGAUACCUAAUCCCAAUUAGAGCCCCGCAACAGUCUGGCAACAGUGGCGUCGUCCUUGAGAACGCGCCACCUAGCGAGCAUCUGUAUGAAGAACUGCGGUACUAGAGCUUACAGAACGUCACCAGUGGCAGUGGUAGUGUC